GAUGAACGCUGGCGGCGUGCCUAAUACAUGCAAGUCGGACGCACCACUUCGGUGGUGAGUGGCGAACGGGUGAGUAAUACAUAAGUAACCUGCCCUUGCGAGGGGGAUAACUAUUAGAAAUGAUAGCUAAGACCGCAUAGGUAUGAUGAUCGCAUGAUCGUGAUAUUAAAAAUCCGUAUGGAUUGCGCAAGGAUGGACUUAUGACGCAUUAGCUAGUUGGUGAGGUAACGGCCUACCAAGCCGACGAUCGGUAGCCGGACUGAGAGGUUGAACGGCCACAUUGGGACUGAGACACGGCCCAGACUCCUACGGGAGGCAGCAGUGGGGAAUAUUGCACAAUGGGGGAAACCCUGAUGCAGCAACGCCGCGUGAGGGAAGACGGUUUUCGGAUUGUAAACCUCUGUCCUCUGUGAAGAAGAAAGUGACGGUAGCAGAGGAGGAAGCCACGGCUAACUACGUG
rnacentral:rRNA from 1 species